AGAAGGUGCUUUAUCUGCACAUGCACAUUUAUAUGUGCAGGGUAUACCCUGCACACAUAAAUGUGCAUGUGCAGAUAAAACACCUCUA